UACGGAGGGUGCAAGCGUUAUCCGGAUUCACUGGGUUUAAAGGGUGCGUAGGUGGGUUGGUAAGUCAGUGGUGAAAUCUCCAGGCUUAACUUGGAAACUGCCAUUGAUACUAUCAAUCUUGAAUACCGUGGAGGUCAGCGGAAUAUGUCAUGUAGCGGUGAAAUGCUUAGAUAUGACAUAGAACACCGAUAGCGAAGGCAGCUUACUACAGGUUCAUUGACGCUGAGGCACGAAAGCGUGGGGAGCAAACAGG
rnacentral:rRNA from 1 species